rnacentral:lncRNA from 1 species
CCGAUGAUAUAUAUAUAUAUAUAUAAAUUUUAUAAGAUUUUUAACUUAAAUUAAAUCUAAAAGCUGGUUUAUUUAAGAUCGGAGAGAAGCUAGCAUGCAGCAGUACUGACCAUCUGUUAUUAUAACUGUAAGUAACGUGUAUGGCGCAGGCACAGAUUACGACGUCCACCGGAAACCAACGGAAUCGAAGCUGGGAGGGGAGGACCACCUCCGAAAUGAUGAUGACAAGCAAGCGUAGUGUACUAGGACAUACUACUCCUACUACGUUACGUGUCAGCUGGCGG